CUCUACGUUCGAUGUACACGCUCGCAGCGUUGACAAAGCCCUCUCCAAUAUGAAGCUGCUUUUGGUUGGCACGCUGAUAGCACUGGUAACCGUGGUACACAUGCUCGGGGGUGGCACCCAGGGAGCCGCAGUCGAGGAGCAUAUGUUGGAAGAAAGGAGCGGGUCAUGCUAUCAAACGUGCCCGAUUGGAGGCUGUGGUACCGGUUGUGUCUGCCAGUCUUCUGGCCGCGGCCUCCGGCCCUGGUGCGUGCCGAAGAAAUAAAUAUUUCAAAUUACCUAUAUCGCAACUGUGUAUGCACGCUAUCAGAAAUAGAAAUAGAAAGAAAGAAAUGGAAACGUAGGUCGCACUGGUGCGACCAGCUGUUUCAUGACUUUUGACGUGUGAAAGCA